ncrna:unclassified sequences lysM-TM7 RNA
GCCUACCAAAAAUGUCGCACGGGUACAGCCUUUUUAAUGCCUAGCGAGCAAAUAAUAGUAAUUAAUAUUGGUCGACACGUACUCUGUUCUGUGGUGAGAGCCGCAGAAGAAAGACAAACUAUGGUAGUAGCAUAGCUAGUAAUAGCCGUGCAGGAG